AGCAAGUAACCUACAUCAUCAAUUAAACCCAAACAUUCCAUAAUGAGACCAAACAACGGUUUGGAGUUUGGACUGAUCAUUGUUUAUCAGCUUUCUGAAGCAACCCUAGGAAUAACAAUUUUAAGAUAAUUAUUAAAGACUUAUCUGAAUUAAUUAAGAACUUUGAAUAUUUUCCUUUCACAUGACAAGGUAGAGACUAGAGAGAGAACUUUCAAGGAGGUAAUUGAGUGUGGUGGAGGUGCAUCAAAGCUUCCAUCCAUCUCAAGAUGUGUCCUAAAGCUGAUGAUGGAAACGACACCCAGAAAAGUUACCCCUUCCCAAAUCAUAUCGAAUCCAGCUUCAUAAGUUUUGUUUGUAAAAUAUUCCAUUGAUUUAUUUUUCUUGGUUGAAUAUUAUAUCAAGAAACUAAUCCAAGCUGAUCAGCGUCGCUUCUUUUAUAUUUGCUUCAGUUAUUGAAAUUAUACCGGGUGAUGAAAAUGUUUAAACCUGUCAAACCUUGCAUAUAGUAAAACACAAGUGUUAUACCUUUUUAUAGUAUAAUGAAUUUGAUAACUACACACAACUACACAAAAACACCUCAGGAAAAGAGCAUGCCAACUUCCUUUUACAAAUAGCAUCACAAAGCAACAAUGACUAGUGAAAAAGCAUAUAAUAUAAACAUAUUUAAUCUUCUUUAUGACAAUAUCAUAAGACAUGAUUAAGGUGGAUUAAACAAAGUUUCAAAUUUACUUUACUGGUCGAGUCAACUCUGUAAUUAACCACCUACUUAAUGAAGAACAGUAGCUUAGUUAGCCAUUAAAGGAACUAUAGUACCAUUAGUUAGUUUAUUCAUUUUAUUUCACCGACACCAGCCAACCAUUAACAUGGCCAAGUUAAGUUUCAAUACCUAAAGAAUUCAUUUUUUUUUUUUAAUUUACUUAUAGCAUUAGUAUGAUUUUUGGGGUAAAAACUAGCAUGUAUGUAAACAAAAUCUUGAAGUGUAAUUAAACAUACUAGGGCUUUUUCCGGGCUACGCCCGGACUAAUUUUCUAUAACAUUUUUAUAAUACUCAGAUCUUAUGGAUCGAAAGACAAUUAUAUGUCUAUCAAAGACAAUUUUUGUUUUUUUUGUCUAACAUAUUUGAACUUUUAUCACUCAUAAUUUGUAUUUUUUUAUUACUGAAAAUUAUGAACCACCUGAUGAAAAUAUAUAAAAUAAUUAAAGCGGAGUUUAAUCUGAAUAUUAUUAUCUUACUUAUUUAAGUUUAUGUAAAAUAAAUUUACUUGUACAUUUGAAAUUUUAUUUUGGCUUUGGAACAAUUAUAUUUAUAACUUUUAAGGGUUAUAGGAAAUUUAUGUUUCAAUUUUAACUUUUAAGGGUAUUAAGAAAUUUAUGUUUCAAUUUUUUUUGUUCCUCCUCAUUAUACAUCUAUGUGUGAUGUAUUUGCAAAUAUAUAACUAAUUAGUUUUGAAUAAUGUUCAUAAUCGUAUUUUCCACAAUACUUUUAUUUUUCAGGACAAAUAUAAUUAAUUAAUUUUGAAUAAUGUUCAUAAGCGUAUUUUUACAAUACUGUUAUUUUUCAGAAUUGAUUGGUGGUAAAAAUAAUUAUUAACAAAGUAUAACAAAUUUGUAUUGUGGUUAAAAUUCUAUGUUAUAGUUAUCUUAGAUGUCACAUGCUAAUACAUGAUAUAUAACUGAAGUUUUUUCUCAGGUAAUCUACGAAAUAGGCUUGCAUGAUCAUUAUAUCAUCAAUCUAUUAUAAAUGCUUCUUGUGCAUUCGGGAAAACUGGAAUGUAAGUAGAGUUGUUCUUAUGUCUAUGUAAAUAAACAAUUAAAAGAAAAGUACCUGAUCUUCAGAAUCAGAUCCCAACAUCGUCCAUAGCUUUCCUAGCAUCUAUGUAUUCCUUGGAAUCAUUAAGCCAUCCAACACAUACAUGAUCUCUAAAAUUUAAACUUAUCAUCACCAUAGAAGAAAUCAGGCUUAACUUUUCAAGUGCAGCACAAAUCAUGCAAAAAAUAAUAGUUUCUUUCAGGGUACGAAACUUGAAAAACGCACAACCUCUCUAAUUAUUAAUACAAACCCCUAGUUUUUUUCAUAAAUGAAGAUCAACCUUAUCUCUCUGAAGAAGUAACACUUUUUGUAAAAGCAAAAAAGAAGAGAUAUGAACAUACCUAAAUUCAGCUCUGAAACCACUGAUCCAAUCAUGCUUGUAGGAUUUGAGUCUCCAAAUGACAUCAUUCCUUAUGCACUGAAAAGGGACAAAGCUCUCAGCCUCCGCCAUUUAGGUAUAGUUUGUUCAAGUUGAAAACUUGAUAGUUGUCCUACAGGUUAAAAAGGAAGAUUAAGACAAAGCAUUAUAAACCAAAAUUAAAAGUCAAAAUCCAACUUAUUCAGAUUUCAUACGUUUAUUAGUACCUGAAGCAGGUGGUUAGUCUGAAAGUCACUAAGUCAGUAGAACCAAACUAAACAAAGUAUGAAUUAACUGUUUUUAAUCACUUUCUCAGAAAAAAUAUAUUCAGCUUACUAAAAAACUCAGAUCCAACUAUGAAUAUCUAUACAGGUACCUAAACAGAAUCUAAAGGAAUGUCUUCAAAGCGUUGAUUGCGUUGGAUUCUUUUAAAGACGUACAGAAAGGAGAUAACUUUACAACAUAUUAGCUGGAAAUCUCAAAAGAAACAUCAGAAGCUGGUCAAGAUGCCCAAAAGAGACACCAUUCUUGAGACUGAAAGAAAAAUAUUUUGAGGGGGUAGCAUAUCGACAUCCAAGCUCACCGCCUCGAGCCUCCGAAAACCUCAGGAGAGGCACUUCGACGGUGGAGCCAGUUUUCAAAACGGUGAGUAAUUGAAAAGCUUUUGCCAUUCCAACUCUGAUUUUUUUUUGGAAAAUAAUUUAAAAGAAUGAACUGAUGAAACUCAUGGAAGGGAACUCAUAUAUUCAUAGCUCACUGAAUGAUGAUGUUAAUUGAAUGAGAAAUCGUGUGAGGAGAGGCAAAUCAGUGUAAAUGCGAGCGUUAAUGAAGGUGCAUGAAUCCAGUCAACUCUGUAACGGUGCCGGAUUCUGAUACAGAUUAGAAGAACUCAAUCGAUUAGUCAAGGUCGGAAGCUUCUACCUGUGUUUGAUAUGACUUUGUCCUUGCCGGUGAUCGAAGCUUCCGGCGUAUCUGGUCAUGGCGGUUGUUACCCAAUGAAAAUCAUAAAAGCCCAAAUAAUAUCAACGGAAGAAACAAUUUUUUUUAAAGUAAUGAAGCUUAUUAAAUGUGAAA